UGUGUAUAAGUUAUAAAGUCUAGCCUGCCCACUGAUUGAUUUAAAGGGCCGCGGUAAUUUGACCGUGCGAAGGUAGCAUAGUCAGUAGUCUUUUAAUUGAAGGCUUGAAUGAAAGGUUGGACGAGGGAUGAGCUGUCUCCUUUAUGUAAUUUGAAUUUAACUUUUGAGUGAAAAGGCUCAAAUUAUUUAGUGGGACGAUAAGACCCUAUAAAACUUUAUAUAAGUUUAAUUUGGCUUACAAUUUGAGUGAAAAGUAGCUUUACUAGGCUUAUAUUUCGUUGGGGAGAUGUAGAUAUAAUGUGUAACUGUCUGUUUAAUUUAAUAAUUAUAAUUAGUGUGUGAUCCUUCUUUGUGGAUUAAAAGUAUAAGUUACUUUAGGGAUAACAGCGUGAUUUUCUUUGAGAGUUCUUAUCGACAAGAGUAGUUGCGACCUCGAUGUUGAAUUAAAAUUUCAGUUAGGUGUAGCCGUCUAGCUGGUAGGUCUGUUCGACCUUUAAAAUUUUACAUGAUUUGAGUUCAAACCGGU
rnacentral:rRNA from 1 species